UACGAAGGGGGCUAGCGUUGCUCGGAAUUACUGGGCGUAAAGGGCGCGUAGGCGGAUAUCUAAGUUGGGGGUGAAAUCCCGGGGCUCAACCUCGGAAUUGCCUUCAAAACUGGGUAUCUUGAGUUCGGGAGAGGUGAGUGGAACUCCGAGUGUAGAGGUGAAAUUCGUAGAUAUUCGCAAGAACACCAGUGGCGAAGGCGGCUCACUGGCCCGAUACUGACGCUGAGGCACGAAAGCGUGGGGAGCAAACAGG
rnacentral:rRNA from 1 species